CUCAGUCGGAUCUCUCGACUGAGAUCUCCAAUCGAAAUUUUUUUUUUUAAAAAAAAAAGGGAGACAAAGGGAGCAAGAAGGAGCAAAGCUACAGUAGAAGAUGGACCAGCAGAGAGCAGAAGGACACAAAGGAAUAUGGCCGACUCUCUCUCUGUCUCGCACUUCCUCAUCUUCCCUUUCUUCUUUAUUUAUUUAUUUUUUUAGUCAGUCGAAUCGGGGGCGGGCUGGAGGCCGGCUCUCUCUCUCUGAUUCAACAGAAUCGAUCUGGAAUGGGGAUGGUUAAGUAACAGAGAUGGGUGGGGGAGAGAUGGGCUUGAGAUCUCGAACCGGGUGGGAGCAAAAUGUCUCUGAGAUAGGGUUGUUGGUGAUCUGAAAUUUGGGGUGGUUGGUCGACGGUCGAAUCUGAAAUGGGGGUUGUUGCCUUGCCUGUUCAUCUGAUCUGCUGCUUCUUCUUCUUCUUCCUCCAUGCUCUUAGAGAGAAGAGAUUGUCGGGUGGAAGAUGCUGAAAACCCCAACUCAUAGAAGGAAGAGGGAGAGGGUCGAGAAGGAGAUGGCGGAGAUAGGUGGAAGAGCAGUCACCGAUGGUUGAGAUGGUUAAGAUGUGAUGAUGACGUAGGGUUUCUUCAAGGGAAGGGCGAGAGAAGAAGAUGAAGAAGUGAUGAUCUGAUGAUGUUUGUUUUCUUUACUUGUUUUUAAAUUUUAAAUUUUAUUUUAUUUUUAUUAUAAUUUUUAAAUGAUUCUUAUUAUGAAAAUGCUAGUUGAUACGUGAACAGUCAUGCGAGAGCCACAUCAUCGAGAUUAACAGGUCGACGUCCACCUAGGAUCCACGGCAUUAAAAUCUAAAGCUGUUACCUCAAAAUUGUCAAAAUAUAGUUGAUGGAUACAUUUUUAAAAUUUUUUACAUUCGAUUGGUACACUUUUGAAAGUUUAUCCCGAAGUGUUACAUUGAUAAUAAAAUUUGUACAAACUGUGUAAUUUACUCCGAUCUUUCUUGACGGAUAUUUACCUCAAAGAAAAAAUUUCAAAAUUGCAUCGGAAAUAUUAAUUUGAAAGGUUUAAAUUAGAAAUCUAAAAUUGAUUCCCCUUCUCGUUUCCUCCUUUUCUCUAUUUCAAAUACUUCAUCUCUCGCUUUUAUCUCUCUUCACAUUUCUCCUAUUCCUCAUCUUCUUCUAUACAUCAUUAUCAUCUCUGCUCUUUCUCAUUUCUCUUUCCUUCCUUCCUUCCUUCCUCAUCUGCCCUUCAAGUCCCGGCACUUUCCUUUCUUAUACAAUUUGAUACAGAGACAAAGACAGAGAGAGAGAGAGCUGCUUUAAAAAGCUUAAAACCGCCAAGAAAACCAGGUGCUGGUGCUUUCCCUCUGUUUGCUCCAGGACUGCCAUCCUCGGAGCUCGAUUUCUCGCUGUUUCGAAGAAAAUUGACUCUUUCCCCCAGUGACUGUCACUUUGUGCAAAAGGAAUGACCUUUGAAUUUUUCGAUAUCUUCUAAGAAUCUUAUUACGGGAGAGAUUGGAUAAGUGAUGGGAAUCAAUGAAUUCUCCUCUCCGUAUAUUAGUAUGUAUAUUAGCAUACUCAUGUAUAUUGGGCCAGUAUGUUAUAUAUAGGAGCAUGUAUUGAAUUUGUUCUUACCAUCAAUGGAAGAAUUAGCUUUUCAUGCUCA